CGGGGUGACGGAUUAUUGACUGAGUGGCGGACGGGUGAGUAACGCGUGGGUAACCUACCUUGUACAGGGGGACAACAGUUGGAAACGACUGCUAAUACCGCAUAAGCGCACAGCAUCGCAUGAUGCAGUGUGAAAAGUUUUUUCGGUACAAGAUGGACCCGCGUCUGAUUAGCUAGUUGGUGAGGUAACGGCCCACCAAGGCGACGAUCAGUAGCCGACCUGAGAGGGUGACCGGCCACAUUGGGACUGAGACACGGCCCAAACUCCUACGGGAGGCAGCAGUGGGGAAUAUUGCACAAUGGGCGAAAGCCUGAUGCAGCGACGCCGCGUGAGCGAAGAAGUAUUUCGGUAUGUAAAGCUCUAUCAGCAGGGAAGAUAAUGACGGUACCUGACUAAGAAGCACCGGCUAAAUACGUGCCAGCAGCCGCGGUAAUACGUAUGGUGCAAGCGUUAUCCGGAUUUACUGGGUGUAAAGGGAGCGUAGGCGGUUUUACAAGUCUGAUGUGAAAGCCCGGGGCUCAACUCCGGUAUUGCAUUGGAAACUGUAGAACUAGAGUGUCGGAGGGGUAAGUGGAAUUCCUAGUGUAGCGGUGAAAUGCGUAGAUAUUAGGAGGAACACCAGUGGCGAAGGCGGCUUAC
rnacentral:rRNA from 1 species